GACGAACGCUGGCGGCGUGCUUAACACAUGCAAGUCGAACGGAAAGGCCCUGCUUUUGUGGGGUGCUCGAGUGGCGAACGGGUGAGUAACACGUGAGUAACCUGCCCUUGACUUUGGGAUAACUUCAGGAAACUGGGGCUAAUACCGGAUAGGAGCUCCUGUUGCAUGGUGGGGGGUGGAAAGUUUCGGCGGUUGGGGAUGGACUCGCGGCUUAUCAGCUUGUUGGUGGGGUAGUGGCUUACCAAGGCUUUGACGGGUAGCCGGCCUGAGAGGGUGACCGGCCACAUUGGGACUGAGAUACGGCCCAGACUCCUACGGGAGGCAGCAGUGGGGAAUAUUGCACAAUGGGCGGAAGCCUGAUGCAGCAACGCCGCGUGCGGGAUGACGGCCUUCGGGUUGUAAACCGCUUUCGCCUGUGACGAAGCGUGAGUGACGGUAAUGGGUAAAGAAGCACCGGCUAACUACGUG
rnacentral:rRNA from 1 species